rnacentral:rRNA from 1 species
UACAGAGGGGGCAAGCGUUAAUCGGAAUUACUGGGCGUAAAGCGUGCGCAGGCGGUUUUGUAAGUCUGUCGUGAAAGCCCCGGGCUCAACCUGGGAAUUGCGAUGGAGACUGCAAGGCUUGAAUCUGGCAGAGGGGGUAGAAUUCCACGUGUAGCAGGUGAAAUGCGUAGAGAUGUGGAGGAACACCGAUGGCGAAGGCAGCCCCCUGGGUCAAGAUUGACGCUCAUGCACGAAAGCGUGGGAGCAACAGG